rnacentral:rRNA from 1 species
UACGUAGGUGGCAAGCGUUAUCCGGAUUUACUGGGUGUAAAGGGCGUGUAGGCGGGGAAGCAAGUCAGAUGUGAAAACCACGGGCUCAACCUGUGGCCUGCAUUUGAAACUGUUUUUCUUGAGUGCUGGAGAGGCAAUCGGAAUUCCGUGUGUAGCGGUGAAAUGCGUAGAUAUACGGAGGAACACCAGUGGCGAAGGCGGAUUGCUGGACAGUAACUGACGCUGGGGCGCGAAAGCGUGGGGAGCAAACAGG